rnacentral:rRNA from 2 species
UUCGCAAUGCCCGAAAGGGUGACGAAGCGACGCCGCGUGGGUGAGGAAGGCCCUCGGGUUGUAAAGCCCUGUCAGGAGUUAAGAAAUGUAAGUGCGCUAAUAUCGCAUUUAUUUGACGAAGGCUCCAAAGGAAGCCACGGCUAACUCUGUGCCAGCAGCCGCGGUAAUACAGAGGUGGCAAGCGUUGUUCGGAAUUAUUGGGCGUAAAGAGCACGUAGGUGGGUUUGUAAGUCAGAUGUGAAAGCCUUCUGUUCAACGGAAGAAUUGCAUCUGAAACUACUAGUCUUGAGUGUAGGAGGGGAGAAUGGAACUUCUGGUGGAGCGGUGAAAUGCGUAGAUAUCAGAAGGAACGCCGGCGGCGAAAGCGAUUCUCUGGCCUAUUACUGACACUCAGUGUGCGAAAGCUAGGGGAGCAAACGGGAUUAGAUACCCCGGUAGUCCUAGCCGUAAACGAUGGGCACUAAGUAGAGGGGUUUU